GGUUCCAUAGUGCAGCGGUUAGCACGUCUGCUUUACACGCAGAAGGUCCUGGGUUCAUGCCCCAGUGGAGCAC
rnacentral:tRNA from 1 species